GACGAACCGUGCAAACGUUGUUCGGAAUCACUGGGCUUAAAGGGCGCGUAGGCGGGGGACCAAGUCCGGGGUGAAAUCUUUCGGCUCAACCGGAAAACUGCCUUGGAUACUGGUCUUCUUGAGGGAGGUGGGGGCAGGUGGAACUUCCGGUGGAGCGGUGAAAUGCGUUGAUAUCGGAAGGAACGCCGGUGGCGAAAGCGGCCUGCUGGAUCUCUUCUGACGCUGAGGCGCGAAAGCUAGGGGAGCGAACGGGAUUAGAAC
rnacentral:rRNA from 1 species